rnacentral:rRNA from 1 species
ACAGGGAUUGCCCUAGUAACGGCGAGUGAAGCGGCAACAGCUCAAAUUUGAAAUCUGGCGUCUUUGGCGUCCGAGUUGUAAUUUGCAGAGGGCGCUUUGGCAUUGGCAGCGGUCCAAGUUCCUUGGAACAGGACGUCACAGAGGGUGAGAAUCCCGUACGUGGUCGCUAGCCUUUACCGUGUAAAGCCCCUUCGACGAGUCGAGUUGUUUGGGAAUGCAGCUCUAAAUGGGAGGUAAAUUUCUUCUAAAGCUAAAUACUGGCCAGAGACCGAUAGCGCACAAGUAGAGUGAUCGAAAGAUGAAAAGCACUUUGGAAAGAGAGUUAAAAAGCACGUGAAAUUGUUGAAAGGGAAGCGCUUGCAGCCAGACUUGCCUGUAGUUGCUCAUCCGGGUUUCUACCCGGUGCACUCUUCUGCGGGCAGGCCAGCAUCAGUUUGGGCGGUUGGAUAAAGGUCUCUGUCAUGUACCUCUCUUCGGGGAGAUCUUAUAGGGGAGACGACAUGCAACCAGCCUGGACUGAGGUCCGCGCAUCUGCUAGGAUGCUGGCGUAAUGGCUGUAAGCGGCCCGUCUUGAAACACGGACCAAGGAGUCUAACAUCUAUGCGAGUGUUUGGGUGUCAAGCCCGAGCGCGUAAUGAAAGUGAACGGAGGUGGGAACCUUUCGGGGUGCACCAUCGACCGAUCCUGAUGUCUUCGGAUGGAUUUGAGUAAGAGCAUAGCUGUUGGGACCCGAAAGAUGGUGAACUAUGCUUGAAUAGGGUGAAGCCAGAGGAAACUCUGGUGGAGGCUCGCAGCGGUUCUGACGUGCAAAUCGAUCGUCAAAUUUGGGCAUAGGGGCGAAAGACUAAUCGAACUAUCUAGUAGCUGGUUCCUGCCGAAGUUUCCCUCAGGAUAGCAGUAACGUUUUCAGUUUUAUGAGGUAAAGCGAAUGAUUAGAGGCCUGGGGGUUGAAACAACCUU